rnacentral:rRNA from 1 species
GACGUAGGUGGCGAGCGUUGUUCGGAAUCACUGGGCAUAAAGCGCACGUAGGCGGCCAUAUAAGUCGGGUGUGAAAGCCCUCGGCUCAACCGAGGAACUGCGCCCGAUACUGCAUGGCUUGAGGUCCGGAGGGGAGAGUGGAACUGCGAGCGUAGAGGUGAAAUCCGUAGAUAUUCGCAAGAACACCAGUGGCGAAGGCGGCUCACUGGCCCGGUACUGACGCUGAGGUGCGAAAGCGUGGGGAGCAAACAGG